rnacentral:rRNA from 1 species
GGUCAAGAUGGUAAGGGCCCACGGUGGAUGCCUCGGCACCCGAGCCGAUGAAGGACGUGGCUACCUGCGAUAAGCCAGGGGGAGCCGGUAGCGGGCGUGGAUCCCUGGAUGUCCGAAUGGGGGAACCCGGCCGGCGGGAACGCCGGUCACCGCGCUUGCGCGGGGGGAACCUGGGGAACUGAAACAUCUCAGUACCCAGAGGAGAGGAAAGAGAAAUCGACUCCCUGAGUAGCGGCGAGCGAAAGGGGACCAGCCUAAACCGUCCGGCUUGUCCGGGCGGGGUCGGGGGCCCUCGGCCGAAUCCCCAGCCUAGCCGAAGCUGUUGGGAAGCAGCGCCAGAGAGGGUGAAAGCCCCGUAGGCGAAAGGUGGGGGGAUAGGUGAGGGUACCCGAGUACCCCGUGGUUCGUGGAGCCAUGGGGGAAUCUGGGCGGACCACCGCCUAAGGCUAAGUACUCCGGGUGACCGAUAGCGCACCAGUACCGUGAGGGAAAGGUGAAAAGAACCCCGGGAGGGGAGUGAAAUAGAGCCUGAAACCGUGGGCUUACAAGCAGUCACGGCCCCAAGGGGUUGUGGCGUGCCUAUUGAAGCAUGAGCCGGCGACUCACGGUCGUGGGCGAGCUUAAGCCGUUGAGGCGGAGGCGUAGGGAAACCGAGUCCGAACAGGGCGCGUCCGCGGCCGUGGACCCGAAACCGGGCGAGCUAGCCCUGGCCAGGGUGAAGCUGGGGUGAGACCCAGUGGAGGCCCGAACCGGUGGGGGAUGCAAACCCCUCGGAUGAGCUGGGGCUAGGAGUGAAAAGCUAACCGAGCCCGGAGAUAGCUGGUUCUCCCCGAAAUGACUUUAGGGUCAGCCUCAGGCGCUGACUGGGGCCUGUAGAGCACUGAUAGGGCUAGGGGGCGCCUACCAAACCCUGUCAAACUCCGAAGGGUCCCAGGUGGAGCCUGGGAGUGAGGGCGCGAGCGAUAACGUCCGCGUCCGAGCGCGGGAACAACCGAGACCGCCAGCUAAGGCCCCCAAGUCUGGGCUAAGUGGUAAAGGAUGUGGCGCCGCGAAGACAGCCAGUCGAGUGGCGCCGCGCCGAAAAUGAUCGGGGCUUAAGCCCAGCGCCGAAGCUGCGGGUCUGGGGGAUGACCCCAGGCGGUAGGGGAGCGUUCCCGAUGCCGAUGAAGGCCGACCCGCGAGGGCGGCUGGAGGUAAGGGAAGUGCGAAUGCCGGCAUGAGUAACGAUAAAGAGGGUGAGAAUCCCUCUCGCCGUAAGCCCAAGGGUUCCUACGCAAUGGUCGUCAGCGUAGGGUUAGGCGGGACCUAAGGUGAAGCCGAAAGGCGUAGCCGAAGGGCAGCCGGUUAAUAUUCCGGCCCUUCCCGCAGGUGCGAUGGGGGGACGCUCUAGGCUAGGGGGACCGGAGCCAUGGACGAGCCCGGCCAGAAGCGCAGGGUGGGAGGUAGGCAAAUCCGCCUCCCAACAAGCUCUGCGUGGUGGGGAAGCCCGCAACCCCCCGAAGCCAGGGAGCCAAGAAAAGCCUCUAAGCACAACCUGCGGGAACCCGUACCGCAAACCGACACAGGUGGGCGGGUGCAAGAGCACUCAGGCGCGCGGGAGAACCCUCGCCAAGGAACUCUGCAAGUUGGCCCCGUAACUUCGGGAGAAGGGGUGCUCCCUGGGGUGAUGAGCCCCGGGGAGCCGCAGUGAACAGGCUCUGGCGACUGUUUACCAAAAACACAGCUCUCUGCGAACUCGUAAGAGGAGGUAUAGGGAGCGACGCUUGCCCGGUGCCGGAAGGUCAAGGGGAGGGGUGCAAGCCCCGAACCGAAGCCCCGGUGAACGGCGGCCGUAACUAUAACGGUCCUAAGGUAGCGAAAUUCCUUGUCGGGUAAGUUCCGACCUGCACGAAAAGCGUAACGACCGGAGCGCUGUCUCGGCGAGGGACCCGGUGAAAUUGAACUGGCCGUGAAGAUGCGGCCUACCCGUGGCAGGACGAAAAGACCCCGUGGAGCUUUACUGCAGCCUGGUGUUGGCUCUUGGUCGCGCCUGCGUAGGAUAGGUGGGAGCCUGGCGCCGGUGAAAUCCACCCUGGCGCGGCUGGGGGCCUAACCCUCGGAUGGGGGGACAGCGCUUGGCGGGCAGUUUGACUGGGGCGGUCGCCUCCUAAAAGGUAACGGAGGCGCCCAAAGGUCCCCUCAGGCGGGACGGAAAUCCGCCGGAGAGCGCAAGGGUAGAAGGGGGCCUGACUGCGAGGCCUGCAAGCCGAGCAGGGGCGAAAGCCGGGCCUAGUGAACCGGUGGUCCCGUGUGGAAGGGCCAUCGAUCAACGGAUAAAAGUUACCCCGGGGAUAACAGGCUGAUCUCCCCCGAGCGUCCACAGCGGCGGGGAGGUUUGGCACCUCGAUGUCGGCUCGUCGCAUCCUGGGGCUGAAGAAGGUCCCAAGGGUUGGGCUGUUCGCCCAUUAAAGCGGCACGCGAGCUGGGUUCAGAACGUCGUGAGACAGUUCGGUCUCUAUCCGCCACGGGCGCAGGAGGCUUGAGGGGGGCUCUUCCUAGUACGAGAGGACCGGAAGGGACGCACCUCUGGUUUCCCAGCUGUCCCUCCAGGGGCAUAAGCUGGGUAGCCAUGUGCGGAAGGGAUAACCGCUGAAAGCAUCUAAGCGGGAAGCCCGCCCCAAGAUGAGGCCUCCCACGGCGUCAAGCCGGUAAGGACCCGGGAAGACCACCCGGUGGAUGGGCCGGGGGUGUAAGCGCCGCGAGGCGUUGAGCCGACCGGUCCCAAUCGUCCGAGGUCUUGACCCC